AUGAAAUUAAAAUUAUUAAAUAUAAUUUUAUCAAUAAUAAAUAAACUUAAUAAUAAUAAUAAUAUUAUUAUUAAUAAUCUAUUAGAUUCAUUAAUAAAUAAGAAAUUAUUAUUAAAGAAUAUAUUAUUAGAUAUAAAUAAUAAAAAAAUAAAUAAUAUAAAAAGAAUAUUAAAUAAUAAUAAUAUAAACCCCGCGGGCGCCAAUCCGGUUGUUCACCGGAUUGGUCCCGCGGGGAAUAUUAAUAAUAAAUUACAACAUUUAAAUAAUAUAAAUAAUUGAAAUCUACAAAUUUAUAAUUAUAAUAAAAAUAUAGAAAUUAUAAAUACUAUAAAUGAUAAAUUAAUUAAUAAAUUAUUAUAUAAAAUAAUAACUUUAAAAUUAAAUAAUAUAAAUAUUAAUAAAAUUAUUAUAAGUAAACUUAUUAAUCAACAUAGUUUAAAUAAAUUAAAUAUUAAAUUUUAUUAUUAUAAUAAUGAUAUUAAUAAUAAUAAUAAUAAUAAUAAUAAUAAUAAUAAUUAUUAUAUAAAUAUAAUAAAUAAAUUAAUAAAUAUUAUAAAUAAUAAUAUAAAUAAUAAUUUAUGUAAUAUUUUAAGUUAUUAUUAUAAUAAAAAAGUAACUAUUGAACCUAUUAAAUUAUCAUAUAUUUAUUUAAAUAGUGAUAUUUUUAGUAAAUAUAUUAGUUUAAAUGAUAUAGAUAAAUAUAAUAAUGGUAUCUUAACUAAUUAUCAACGUAUAUUAAAUAAUAUUAUGCCUAAAUUAAAUGAUCAUAAUAUUUCUAUAAAUUAUAUUAAUAAUAUUAAUAAUAUUAAUAAUAAUAAAUAUAAUAAUAUAAUUAAUUUAUUAAAUAAUAAUAAUAAUAAUAAUAAUAAUAAUAAUAUUAAUAAUAAUAAUAAUUAUAAUAAUAAUAAUAAUAAUUAUAUUGGUAAUAUUAAUAAUAUUUAUAAUAAUAUAACUAUUGAUAAUAUUCCUAUAGAUAUUUUAAUAUAUAAAUAUUUAGUUGGUUGAUCUAUUAAAUUUAAAGGUAGAUUAAGUAAUAAUAAUGGUAGAACUAGUACACUUAAUUUAUUAAAUGGUACUUUUAAUAAUAAAAAAUAUUUAUGAAGUAAUAUUAAUAAUAAUUAUAAAUUAAAUUAUAUCCCUUCUAAUCAUAAUUUAUAUAAUAAUUCUAAUAUUAAUAAAAAUGGUAAAUAUAAUAUUAAAGUUAAAUUAAACUUUAUUUAA
rnacentral:rRNA from 1 species